UACAGACAUGUACAUCUGUCUCUUAUACACAUCUAGAUGUGUAUAAGAGACAGAUGACUGCCACAGCAGAAGAUGUAGUGCACGCGCCAGUGUUUUACAGGGCACUACAGACAUCU